rnacentral:rRNA from 1 species
CGCGUAGGCGGUGCUGUAAGUCAGGCGUGAAAGCCCCGGGCUCAACCUGGGAAUGGCGCUUGGGACUAUGGCACUGGAGUUCGGGAGAGGAGCGUGGAAUUCCCAGUGUAGAGGUGAAAUUCGUAGAUAUUGGGAAGAACACCGGUGGCGAAGGCGGCGCUCUGGACCGAUACUGACGCUGAGGCGCGAAAGCGUGGGGAGCAAACAGGAUUAGAUACCCUGGUAGUCCACGCGGUAAACGAUGUGUGCUAGACGUUGGGGAGCCUAGCUCCUCGGUGUCGCCGCUAACGCUUUAAGCACACCGCCUGGGGAGUACGGCCGCAAGGUUAA